UACGUAGGAUCCGAGCGUUGUCCGGAAUUACUGGGUGUAAAGGGCGUGUAGGGGGGUCUCUAAGUCGAUGGUGAAAUCCUGCAGCUCAACUGUAGAAUUGCCGUCGAUACUGGAGGUCUUGAGUGCGGCAGAGGGAGACGGAAUUCAUGGUGUAGCGGUGAAAUGUGUAGAUAUCAUGAAGAACACCGGUUGCGAAGGCGGCCUCCUGGCCCGUUACUGACACUGGGGCGCGAAAGCGUGGGAGCAAACAGG
rnacentral:rRNA from 1 species